UUCGACGAGUCGAGUUGUUUGGGAAUGCAGCUCUCAUGGGAGGUAAAUUUCUUCUAAAGCUAAAUACUGGCCAGAGACCGAUAGCGCACAAGUAGAGUGAUCGAAAGAUGAAAAGCACUUUGGAAAGAGAGUUAAAAAGCACGUGAAAUUGUUGAAAGGGAAGCGCUUGCAGCCAGACUUGCCUGUAGUUGCUCAUCCGGGUUUCUACCCGGUGCACUCUUCUACGGGCAGGCCAGCAUCAGUUUGGGCGGUUGGAUAAAGGUCUCUGUCAUGUACCUCCUUUCGGGGAGAACUUAUAGGGGAGACGACAUGCAACCAGCCCGGACUGAGGUCCGCGCAUCUGCUAGGAUGCUGGCGUAAUGGCUGUAAGCGGCCCGUCUUGAAACACGGACCAAGGAGUCUAACAUCUAUGCGAGUGUUUGGGUGUCAAGCCCGAACGCGUAAUGAAAGUGAACGGAGGUGGGAACCUUUCGGGGUGCACCAUCGACCGAUCCUGAUGUCUUCGGAUGGAUUUGAGUAAGAGCAUAGCUGUUGGGACCCGAAAGAUGGUGAACUAUGCUUGAAUAGGGUGAAGCCAGAGGAAACUCUGGUGGAGGCUCGCAGCGGUUCUGACGUGCAAAUCGAUCGUCAAAUUUGGGCAUAGGGGCGAA
rnacentral:rRNA from 1 species